CAGUAGCCGCGGGAAUACGUAGGGUGCGAGCGUUAAUCGGAAUUACUGGGCGUAAAGCGUGCGCAGGCGGUUCGUUAAGACAGAUGUGAAAUCCCCGGGCUUAACCUGGGAACUGCAUUUGUGACUGGCGUGCUAGAGUAUGGCAGAGGGGGGUAGAAUUCCACGUGUAGCAGUGAAAUGCGUAGAGAUGUGGAGGAAUACCGAUGGCGAAGGCAGCCCCCUGGGCCAAUACUGACGCUCAUGCACGAAAGCGUGGGGAGCAAACAGGAUUAGAUACCCGGGUAGUCCCUGUCUCUUAUAA
rnacentral:rRNA from 1 species